UACAGAGGUCCCAAGCGUUGUUCGGAUUCACUGGGCGUAAAGGGUGCGUAGGCGGUCGGGUAAGUCUGAUGUGAAAUCUCACAGCUUAACUGUGAAACUGCAUUGGAUACUAUCCGGCUCGAGGAAUGGAGGGGAGACUGGAAUACUUGGUGUAGCAGUGAAAUGCGUAGAUAUCAAGUGGAACACCAGUGGCGAAGGCGAGUCUCUGGACAUUUCCUGACGCUGAGGCACGAAAGCCUGGGGAGCAAACGGG
rnacentral:rRNA from 1 species